rnacentral:ncRNA from 1 species
AAGAGCCGUGUGCGAUAGUACCGCACGCACGGUUCUGUGAGGAGUGAGGAACUUAAUAUCUAUACUAGAAAACAAGUUCCCGCUUACUCGAC